rnacentral:miRNA from 1 species
UUUGUACUGUUUUAGACUCUUU